rnacentral:lncRNA from 1 species
GAACAUCCAACAAGCGCAUAGGCAGGAAGGUUGAAUAGUUGCAGGAAGGGACUGGUGACCCUGCUUGCACAUACAUUUAUUCAUAUGCACGUCAUACACGCACGCAUACAGCCGUCAGCAAAAUGUACACUUUUAUACAAACCUACAAACAUGAAAACAUGCAAAACAUAAAUCAAACAAAGCUCCCUGACAGUGAACCUCAUAAAUACGGGCUUCUCAUAUAUGGGCUUCUACACAGGGAAAAGAAUAUGUAGCGGUCUGAACUAGCGGUCUGAACUACCCAUAACCGUUUCUACAAAAAAGACAAAAAAAUAUUGCAUGAUGAGCCGUGCUUUUUUUUGCGAUCAGCUACGUCAGUAGUUCACGCAUUGCGUUCACAUUAGCAAGAAGUCACAUUAGAUUAUUUUUACUCGAAAACCGUGAAACAUCGAAUGGCGCUACCUGCGUAACGACAAUGUGUAACACCAGGCAAUUACAAAGAGUACUCAGGGAGAUGCCAAGGGAGCUGAACCCUUCUUACACAAUGCAAGGCGAUAAUGUACGCACAUACAUACCAUUUGAGUCACUGCUGCCACUAGUCGCACGAACACAGACCAGCUGACCGGGAGUAAGGCCCGGCGAGCACGGAACUGAGGGGUUCAAGACCAGGAAAUCCACAGGGUCCCAUUCGCCCGCAUUCG